GCGACUGUAGUCUAGUUCUGGAUAUUCUUCUGUCUUGAAGUCUCGAGCCUUGAAAACAAAAGUAAAGCUCAGGACUCGAAACACGAAACUGAAAACUAUCCGGAGGACUUCGGUAGGAUUCUAGAUUGCCAAUCUAGUGACCCGAGUUCGAACCUCGGCGGUCGCA
rnacentral:tRNA from 1 species